rnacentral:rRNA from 1 species
CCUACGGGAGGCAGCAGUGGGGAAUUUUGGACAAUGGGCGCAAGCCUGAUCCAGCCAUGCCGCGUGCGGGAAGAAGGCCUUCGGGUUGUAAACCGCUUUUGUCAGGGAAGAAAUCCUUUGAGAUAAUACCUCGGAGGGAUGACGGUACCUGAAGAAUAAGCACCGGCUAACUACGUGCCAGCAGCCGCGGUAAUACGUAGGGUGCGAGCGUUAAUCGGAAUUACUGGGCGUAAAGCGUGCGCAGGCGGUCUUGCAAGACAGAUGUGAAAUCCCCGGGCUCAACCUGGGAACUGCAUUUGUGACUGCAAGGCUAGAGUACGGUAGAGGGGGAUGGAAUUCCGCGUGUAGCAGUGAAAUGCGUAGAUAUGCGGAGGAACACCGAUGGCGAAGGCAAUCCCCUGGACCUGUACUGACGCUCAUGCACGAAAGCGUGGGGAGCAAACAGGAUUAGAUACCCUGGUAGUCCACGCCCUAAACGAUGUCAACUGGUUGUUGGACGGCUUGCUGUUCAGUAACGAAGCUAACGCGUGAAGUUGACCGCCUGGGGAGUCGGCCGCAGGUUGAAACUCAAAGGAUUGACGG